UACGGAGGGUGCAAGCGUUAAUCGGAAUUACUGGGCGUAAAGCGUGCGCAGGCGGUUUGUUAAGUCUGCUGUGAAAUCCCCGAGCUCAACUUGGGAAUUGCAGUGGAUACUGGCAAGCUAGAGUAUGGUAGAGGAAGGUGGAAUUCCCGGUGUAGCAGUGAAAUGCGUAGAGAUCGGGAGGAACACCGGUGGCGAAGGCGGCCCACUGGAUCGGUACUGACGCUGAGGUGCGAAAGCGUGGGGAGCAAACAGG
rnacentral:rRNA from 1 species